AGCAUUUAGAAGUCUGACCGCGUCUUGUAUGACAAAUGAGCAAAUCCAAAAGUACAUUGCACAUAACGGAAAGGUUAACAAAUGGAAUCACCUCUUCUUGUUCUACAGCAGAACACCAGAUAGAAGCCUUUCAAGUCUUCUUGAAUCCAGAUCUCUAUUUGCACAGAAAAACGACCGACGGUAGUACCACACUCACGUGAUCUCUCUGGCAAUUAAGAGAUCUCGUAAUUAUUUCACAGGUGGAAAAAAUAGCCAAAGUUGAAUCUGAUCCCCAAGUGUUGUGAAGUUAGAAGAUGAUGCACACUCCAUUCCUAUUUCUCUAUGGGAAGAACAAGGUAAACAAAUAUCACCUGAAGAUUGUAAAUGAUUUCAGAAAAAACGAAACUGAAAUUAUUUGAGAGAAAAGAAACGUGAAUCUUAUUGAAAGAGUUGCUCCCCUUAUAUAGACAAAACUAGAGUGAACCCUCAUCGUUAGUUGACUAAUAUGUAAAGUUCACUUUACUACUGAGUUAACUAAUAUUUACAGAAUUACAAUUGUACUCCUAUAAAUAUUUACACUAUUUACAGUCCUCAAGCCGAGGGCUAGUGAAGAUCCACAAGUCCCAUCUUGGACAAAAGAGAAUAAAAGAAGUCGUUGCAUAAGGGUUUAUUAAAAAGAUCUGCUAACUAUGUCUAAGAAUUGACUUUAAUAGUAGCAAUGAACCCUUUGAGAAAUUCAUCCCUAACAGGUGGCAAUCGAUCUCCAACUGUUUGGUUCUUUCGUGAAAUACUGGGUUUGCUGCUAUAUAAAUGGCAGCUUGGUUAUCGCAGUGAAGGGCAAUGGAAAGUGACAGAUGUAUCUGAAAAUCUUUUAGUAAUUAGGAAAUCCACUUUAACUCACAAACAACAGCUGCCAUACUCUUAUAUUCAGUUUCAGCAGAUGACCUACUUACAGUAUUUUGCUUCUUUGUUUUCCAAGUGAUUGUCUUUCGGUGGAAGACCUGACCAAUUCAAUGUCUAAGAAAUACUUGGCAUAACCAAGUCUUUGAUUCUGAACUGUUUGUGCAAGUAAGCCUUUGUUUCUUCAAUAUGCUCUUCAUUAGUUCUUGAAAUCAAUAUAUCAUCCACAUAUACAAGCAAACACUUGAAAAU
rnacentral:lncRNA from 1 species